UGCGCCUAAAGGGUUUCUUCUCCAUUCACUUCGAACCGAAACCCUGAAACCCUUGGCGCCCCCAUUCUUCUCUAUCACCCACCGGUCGAGUUCCGCCGGCCGACGACCAUACCGGCAGGAGAUCUGAACCUACCGGAGUGGGAGCCCCCCCUGAUGCCGCUUUACACCCCCUUCGGUGACCCACCGGUCGACGCCGAUGACCAUACCGGCAGGUGGAAUGAAUUCUCAAUCCACAUCCGAAAUUAGGUUUUAUAAGUACCUGAAAUAUAAUGCCAGAUACUGCAAGUGUGGAAGAAAAUGCAUAAUUCGAGUGUCAGAUACACCUGCUAAUCCUCAAAGAUUGUUUUACACUUGCCCUAGAAAAAUGGUAAAUGAUACCAAUGAGGAAACUCGGAACUCCAAUAUGAAGUCUUGCAAUUUUUUUGAAUGGGCAGUUCCUAUAAAUACUUUAGAUGAAGCCACCUCAACAAGAACAAUGUAGUGCAUCUGGAAAGUCGUAUUGAAAAGCUAGAGAAAUUAGUUGUUGAAGGUUGGAUGCUUUCAAGGCUUCUCAGCACUUAUUUACCGAAGGAUUUUGACAAUAAGUUUUGCAAUUGUGUUUAUAUUUGUCUUGUACAUGUAUAAGAACUAGUAUUUAGGUGUACUUAGUAUUUUGAACUGUGUAAUAUUCCUCUGUAGGGGUAAGAUUGAAUAUGUUGCAGAUUGAAUGAUCAAAGUGCCAACUGGGUACCUACCACUUUUGGUAUCAUGGGUUCGGUGCACCUUACAAGUUCAUAAUGAAGAUUCCUAAACCAAUAUACUAUGCAUGAAUGAAACUUUGAUCAUCGA